CUGGAUGAUUUGUGCCA
rnacentral:misc_RNA from 1 species